GCUGGGUGUGGUGGUGCACACCUGUAAUCCCAGUUACUCGGGAGGCCGAGGCAGGAGGAUCACAAGUUCCAAGCCAACCUGGGUAACUUAGCAAGGCCCUAAGAAAAUAUAUUACAAUUAAGCAAUGGGUCAUGCACAGUCUCUA
rnacentral:sRNA from 1 species